GUAGGUGGCAAGCGUUGUCCGGAAUUAUUGGGCGUAAAGCGCGCGCAGGCGGUUCUUUAAGUCUGAUGUGAAAGCCCACGGCUCAACCGUGGAGGGUCAUUGGAAACUGGAGAACUUGAGUACAGAAGAGGAAAGCGGAAUUCCACGUGUAGCGGUGAAAUGCGUAGAGAUGUGGAGGAACACCAGUGGCGAAGGCGGCUUUCUGGUCUGUAACUGACGCUGAGGCGCGAAAGCGUGGGGGAGCAAACAGGAUUAGAUACCCUGGUAGUCCACGCCGUAAACGAUGAGUGCUAAGUGUUAGGGGGUUUCCGCCCCUUAGUGCUGCAGCUAACGCAUUAAGCACUCCGCCUGGGGUAGUACGGCCGCAAGGCUG
rnacentral:rRNA from 1 species